rnacentral:lncRNA from 1 species
UGCCUGACCUCUCCGGCGGGAGCAGAGCCUCGCGGGGGCAGCCGGGCCGGCGCCGGGGACGCGGUGCCCUUCCCAGCCCCGGGACRGAGGCCUCGUGGUUUGGGGACGAGCCCGGCUCGCGGCGUACGAAAUGGAGCUGGGAGGAAUGGUUCUCCGGGGAGUUCUGGUUUCCCCCGUUGCGGCUAAUUCCUCACGGCUAGGAUAGAUAGCCGAGACGCGUCUGGGAUUCGUGGCGUCCCUUCCCAGCCCGCCUGAUGCAGCGGAAAGCUGGYGGCGGGGGUGGCCUUGCUGGGCUCAGGGGGAUGCCCGCUGCCCCGUCCGGCCUGGGAUGCGCCUGCGACCGGGUUUCAGAGCUCGGGAACCCGCGGGCGGCCAGGAYGGUGGCGUCUCCCCCAGGAAUGGGGCCGCAUCCCCUCUGACACCACGCGGACCUCCUUGCGGGGCCGGCAGGGAUGGCUCGGGCCGAGGGGACCGGCGACGCGAUGGACCCUGUCUUGUCCCUCCCUCCCGCAGCUGGAAGAUGAGCGCGGUGCACGACGUGCGGACCGAGGCGCGGGAGCGGCCCAGCCGGCGGACGGUGGACCAGCUGAGCCCGGAGCUCCGCGUGGAGAAGUACAUCCUGCUGAGCAUGGACGGGAAGCUGCUGGGCCCGGAGCUGAGCCGGAUCCGGAGCGAGAUGGCCCUGCCCCUGGAGCGCCUGGAUGCUGACCUGCCCCAGGACCUGCCCCCCGGCUACCUCUGGCGCCAGCGCCGCUCCCUGCCGACCUUCCCCCUCGCCCCCGGGAGCGGCGCCCAGACCCCCGCGGACCUCAGGAGGAGCUCGGACUUGCUCUGCGCCGGCCAGUUCCCCACGGGGCUCAGCGACCUGGUGACGGGGAUGCAGGCCCCUGCCUCGCCGUGUGCCAGGAGCCGUGGCAGCCYGCGGGCUCGGCCCCGCUCCGCCCUGGCAGCCCAGGCUUCGGAGGCCGYGGGCCAGGGCUGCCGGGAGCGGACGGCCCCGGGGCGGGAAGGUGGCCAGGAGUGAGGGGAGCCGGGACCCCAGCCAGCUCCCCCCGCCCGGAGUAGGGGCGGCGCUGGCAGCACAGCGGGGCUGUAACGGGAGGAUGGUGCGAAAUAAAGACCCUGGAUGUAACCCCA